rnacentral:rRNA from 1 species
UGAAGUAAGUAAGGGCGUACGGUGAAUGCCUUGGUGCCAACAGGCGAAGAAGGACGCGGCAAGCUGCGAAAAGCCUCGGGAAGCUGCAAGCAAGCGAUGAUCCGGGGAUAUCCGAAUGGGGUAACCUGAUCGAGGCAAUACUCGAUCGUUCAUACCUGAAUACAUAGGGUAUGAAACGCGAAACCCGCUGAAGUGAAACAUCUCAGUAAGCGGAGGAAAAGAAAGAGAAAUCGAUUCCGUAAGUAGUGGCGAGCGAAAGCGGAUGGAGCCCAAACCGAAGGUAUUCCUUCGGGGUUGUAGGACCACGUCAUAUUCGACCAUACUGGAUAGUAGAACAGCCUGGAAAGGCUGGCCGGAGAAGGUGAAAGCCCUGUAGACGAAAUCCAGAGUGGGAAUUAGUGGUAUCCUGAGUAAUACAUCACACGUGGAACGAUGUAUGAACCCGCGCGGACCACCGCGCAAGGCUAAAUACUAGUUGGCGACCGAUAGUGAACAAGUACCGCGAGGGAAAGGUGAAAAGAACCGCUGUGAGCGGAGUGAAAUAGAACCUGAAACCGUAUGUCUACAAAGUGUCAGAGCAGAGCAAUCUGCGAUGGCGUGCCUUUUGUUUAAUGAGUCUGCGAGUCAGUGUUUGUGGCAAGACUAAGGGCUUCCGGCCCGGAGUCGCAGCGAAAGCAAGUCCGAACAGGGCGCAAUAAGUCGCAGGUACUGGACCCGAAGCGGAGGUGACCUACCCUUGGCCAGGUUGAAGCAUGGGUAAAACCAUGUGGAGGACCGAACAGGUGAACGUUGAAAAGUUCUCUGAUGAGCUGAGGGUAGGAGUGAAAGGCUAAUCAAACCCCGUGAUAGCUGGUUCUCUUCGAAAUGCAUUUAGGUGCAGCGUCACGUGCUGAUGCGCGGGGGUAGAGCACUGACAAGGCUAGGGGGCACACCCGCUUACCAAACCUUAUCAAACUCCGAAUACCGUGCAAUGGAACGUGGCAGUGAGACAGUGGGGGAUAAGCUUCAUUGUCGAGAGGGAAACAACCCAGACCAGCAGCUAAGGUGCCUAAAUAACGCUCAGUGGAAAGGAUGUGGGAUUACACAGACAGUGAGGAUGUUGGCUUAGAAGCAGCCACCAUUUAAAAAAUGCGUAAUAGCUUACUCAUCGAGUGAUCCUGCGCCGAAAAUGAUUGGCGAUCAAGCGUUAUACCGAAGCUCUGGACUUUGCCGCAAGGCAGAGUGGUAGAAGAGCGUUGCAUGCGCGUCGAAGGGCGAUGGCGACUGACCCUGGAGCACAUGCAAGUGAGUAUGCAGACAUGAGUAACGUUAAGCCGGGUGAAAUCCCCGGCCGCCGUAAACCCGAGGUUUCCAGGGCAACGUGUUUCGUCCCUGGGUUAGCCGGGACCUAAGCCGAGGCCGAGAGGCGUAGGCGAUGGACAUCAGGUUAAUAAUCCUGAGCUCGCAACCCUUAAACUGGGGGGACGCAUGAGAAAAGAUGACUAGGUUAUUGAAUUCCGAGUUGAGUCUACGGACUCAGCGCAUCAUUGGAUCGAGUGCCAAGAAAAGCCCCAGCGUAUGCUAAGCGACCCGUACCGCAAACCGACACAGGUGGGUGGGUAGAAUAUACCAAGGCGUAAGAGUGAAACCUGGUUAAGGAACUCGGCAAAUUAGCCCCGUAACUUCGGAAGAAGGGGUGCCUGCAGCGAUGCAGGCCGCAGAGAAAUGGCCCAACCGACUGUUUAUCAAAAACACAGCACUCUGCAAAGACGCAAGUCGAAGUAUAGGGUGUGACACGUGACCAAUGCCGAAAGAUUAAGGCAAGGGGUUAGCCGCAAGGCGAAGCUCUAAACCCAAGUCCCGGUGAAUGUCGGCCGUAACUAUAACGGUCCUAAGGUAGCGAAAUUCCUUGUCGGGUAAGUUCCGACCUGCACGAAUCGUGAAACGAGUUGGGCACUGUCUCAACCAGGCGCUCAGUGAAAUUGUAGUGGCGGUGAAGAUGCCGCCUACCCGCAGAAGGACGGAAAGACCCUAUAGACCUUAACUGUAAGCUGUCAUUGUUUCUUCGGUUUUAAUGCUCAGAGUAAGUGGGAGACGCUGAAGACGCCCUUUAGGGGGCGUCCGAGUCAUCAAUGAGACACCACCCUUUGAAACUGGAGGAUCUAACCCUGAGCCGUGAAUCCGGCCAGAGGACCGUGUCAGCCGGUCAGUUUUACUGGGGCGGUAUCCUCCCAAAGAGUAACGGAGGAGCGCGAAGGUGGGCUCAGCCC